rnacentral:piRNA from 1 species
UGAGGGCGCCUAAACUCCAGAUAUGGGCUGGU